rnacentral:tRNA from 1 species
CCUUGCGGAAGUAGACCAGCACGGCGGCAAUGGCGCCGACCUGGAUGACCGCCGAGAACCCGAUGACGGCGUC